rnacentral:rRNA from 1 species
GGCAGGCUUACACAUGCAGUCGAGGGGUAACAGAGGUAGCUUGCUACUUGCUGACGACCGGCGCACGGGUGCGUAACGCGUAUAGAACCUACCUUUUACAGGAGAAUAGCCCAGAGAAAUUUGGAUUCAUGCUCCAUAGUAUUAUUGAAUGGCAUCGUUUAAUAAUUAAAGUUUCGGCGGUAAAAGAUGGCUAUGCGUUCUAUUAGCUAGUUGGUAAGGUAACGGCUUACCAAGGCAACGAUGUCUAGGGGUUCUGAGAGGAUGAUCCCCCACACUGGUACUGAGACACGGACCAGACUCCUACGGGAGGCAGCAGUGAGGAAUAUUGGUCAAUGGGCGCAAGCCUGAACCAGCCAUGUCGCGUGCAGGAUGACUGCCCUAUGGGUUGUAAACUGCUUUUUUACGGGAAUAAACCUUCCUACGUGUAGGGAGCUGAAGGUACCGUAUGAAUAAGGAUCGGCUGAC